rnacentral:rRNA from 1 species
GAUGAACGCUAGCGGGAGGCCUAACACAUGCAAGCCGAGCGGUAUUGUUUCUUCGGGCAUGCGAGAGCGGCGUACGGGUGCGUAACACGUGUGCAACCUGCCUUUAUCUGGGGGAUAGCCUUUCGAAAGGAAGAUUAAUACUCCAUAAUAUAUUGAACGGCAUCGUUUAAUAUUGAAAGCUCCGGCGGAUAGAGAUGGGCACGCGCAAGAUUAGCUAGUUGGUGAGGUAACGGCUCACCAAGGCGAUGAUCUUUAGGGGGCCUGAGAGGGUGAUCCCCCACACUGGUACUGAGACACGGACCAGACUCCUACGGGAGGCAGCAGUGAGGAAUAUUGGUCAAUGGGUGCAAGCCUGAACCAGCCAUCCCGCGUGAAGGACGACUGCCCUAUGGGUUGUAAACUUCUUUUGUAUAGGGAUAAACCUACCCUCGAGAGGGUAGCUGAAGGUACUAUACGAAUAAGCACCGGCUAACUCCGUG